UACGGAGGGUGCAAGCGUUAAUCGGAAUUACUGGGCGUAAAGCGUGCGUAGGCGGUUCGUUAUGUCUGCUGUGAAAGCCCCGGGCUUAACCUGGGAAUGGCAGUGGAAACUGGCGGGCUUGAGUGUGGCAGAGGGGGGUGGAAUUCCGCGUGUAGCAGUGAAAUGCGUAGAGAUGCGGAGGAACACCGAUGGCGAAGGCAGCCCCCUGGGCUGACACUGACGCUGAGGCACGAAAGCGUGGGGAGCAAACAGG
rnacentral:rRNA from 1 species